rnacentral:rRNA from 1 species
GACGAACCGUGCGAACGUUAUUCGGAUUCACUGGGCGUAAAGCGUGCGCAGGCGGUUAUGUAAGACAGAUGUGAAAUGCCCGGGCUUAACCUGGGAACUGCAUUUGUGACUGCAUGGCUAGAGUUUGGCAGAGGGGGGUAGAAUUCCACGUGUAGCAGUGAAAUGCGUAGAUAUGUGGAGGAACACCGAUGGCGAAGGCAGCCCCCUGGGUCAAGACUGACGCUCAUGCACGAAAGCGUGGGGAGCAAACAGG